rnacentral:antisense_RNA from 18 species
AGCUGAACUUUGUUCAGCAGCAAUUCCUUUCGGCACUACUUCUUCUGCUGUGGUUGGUUGAGAAGUAG